rnacentral:tRNA from 1 species
GGAGGGUAUAGCUCAGUGGUAGAGUGCAUGCCUAGCAUGCAUGAGGUCCUGGGUUCAAUUCCCAGUACCUCUA